GCUCUUUGACACACGACCAAUAAACCCGAGGCACCUGCAGGUUAAAAAAUUCUCAUGGUCACACCUACGGGUUGAAUCAAUGCAAGAAUACAGUUCAAACCUGUUUGGCCUUCUAAGCCGCCUCCUACAAUGAACUCCAUGUACCGUCAUGCCUCGCGCGCCUACGUCGUGCCGAGGGCUGCAUGUGCUCCGCCGCUCUGCUCCAACUAUGGCUCAGUGCGGCUCCGGCUCUUCACGGGAGUGCAUCGUACGAGCGGCGGAGAGCCCUCAGCGGAGCUCCUGCAGGGAGCCCAUCACUGCAGCGGGACGGGAGCGGACCGGACCGGACCGUGAGGAGGAACCACCUUGUUUUUACCCCUUGUUGGACGUAACCACGCUGAUCGAUCUGCUCGUGUUGGCCUGAACGCCAAUCGUUUUUGUUUUGUUUUGUUUUUUUUGUUUUUUUUUACGCACGGAUUCUUUGGACGCGUGAAGCGGAUUAAAUUGCUGCCGUGGCGGCACUGACACACGUGGAGAUAUCAUGAUUAUUUAUUAUUUAUUAUUGCUGAUAAAAGUGUGACGAUGGCAGCGGCUGAUGGAUUCAGCAGUCCAGCUGCGACCCGUCCCGUUGGAUAUAAGGAAACACUGUCCCUCACACGGGAUGAGUGGUGUCCAUUACUCUGCCGGACACGCCGUUUGGCGGACAGACGAGUCUCUUGGGAUCCUUAACGCGUGUGAGCCGGUGUCACAGACAGCCGGUGUGCAAUGGUACGGAUUUUUGUUUGAUUUUUAUGGGGGGAAAAAAUCGCCUGGUGGAUUUUGGCACAAAGAAAAGGGAAUAUCCUGGAUUAUAUUCUGAGAGCGAUGCUCGGCAGAUGUUCCUGGGCGAUAAUGACAGCACGCGUCUCUUCACCCGGCAGUGAAGGAAUCCAAAUUCUCGGACUGAGAUGUCAGCCUUCAAUCGCUUCCCAGGGAGCUUCUGAUGAUCUCAGGUGAGCAGUGAGAAGAGGCUGACUAAUGGAAACAUGAUCUCAAGAGAUUCAACAGGAUCAGACUAAAUCCCGGUUUGGACCGUGGACCAGCAUCCCCUGCAGCAGAUGUUCGCUCCUGGCAUGGCUACGAACAGCAUGAGCUCCAUCGCUGACAAUCUCGCUCUCAGGAUCCAAUGCCGCCAGCAGCUUGGACUUGGAGAAAGCUGUGACGUAAACUCAGCAGGACAGUGGAGUGUACCCUGCUGCUCAGACAUUAUGGAACAGUUCGGCCAGGCCUGUUUGGAGAGCUGCUCUAUAGGAAAGUCAGCUCGAUCCACCGGAGUCGGCCACAGUGGAUCUACUUAAAGUUCACUUUUUUUUUCUUUUUUUUUCCCCAAGUUGAACCUGGAUCAAUAUUGGUGUACAUCUGUUUUUGAUAUUCAGCAUUUAUUGAUGCUGUUGCUCAUACACACUGCAGUUCUGACAUCUGAGUGAUUACAUAAAAGCCAUUUAUUUUGGGUCCCAAUAAAUCAUUAUUGUCUCCAAUGUCUGACGGCAAUAAUUCAAGUGUACUUGUUAGCCUGAGAUAAAAUAUAUUCAUUAUCAAUUUUGUAUUUUUUAGAAUUUAGUAUUCCAUGAACUUAGUCUUUUUGUUUUCGGGAUCAUGACUGCCUCCCUCUUCAUGAGAAAUAUUUUAAUAACAUUUCUGUGGAAUUUAAGAGGUGACAUUGAAAUGCCGUUGAUUUUGAUCUUCUUUGAGACCAAAACCUUCAAAACCUUCUCUGUCAAGUGUUUCAUAUCCACCGUGUCAUGCAAAAAUCUUGAAUGAAUAAAUUCUAUAAA